AAUGAACGCUGGCGGCAUGCCUAACACAUGCAAGUCGAACGAAGGCUUCGGCCUUAGUGGCGCACGGGUGCGUAACGCGUGGGAAUCUGCCCUUGGGUUCGGAAUAACAGUUAGAAAUGACUGCUAAUACCGGAUGAUGUCGUAAGACCAAAGAUUUAUCGCCCAAGGAUGAGCCCGCGUAGGAUUAGCUAGUUGGUGGGGUAAAGGCCUACCAAGGCGACGAUCCUUAGCUGGUCUGAGAGGAAGAUCAGCCACACUGGGACUGGGACACGGCCCAGACUCCUACGGGAGGCGGCAGUGCGGGAUAUAGGACAGUGGGCGGAGGCAUGAAGCAGCAAUGCCGGGUAAGUGAUGAAGGCCUUAAGGAAGUAAAGCUCUUUUACCCGGGAUGAUCUUGACGGUACCGAGAGAAUAAGCUCCGGCUAACUUCGUG
rnacentral:rRNA from 1 species